GCGCCGGACCCGCGCAAUUUGAAACCGUGAACUAUGUCAGGCGGGGAACCGAGCAGCAUUAAGCGGCGGACAAUGUGCCGCGGGGAACCCGGCGACG
rnacentral:SRP_RNA from 1 species